GGGUCUGGCGGAGGUGGUGUAGGGUCACGUCGGGACUGCCUCAAGUAUGCCGUCCAUGCUCCCUCCACCUGGUCAAGGUUGUGGGUGUUGGAUGGGCAGAAAGACCACUGUGCCGCAGACGUGACCCUGUGCCGCUGAUGCCAGACUCCUGCCGUCCUUAAAGCUGACCUGCUGGCUGGUGGAGGCCUCGGCGCUGGCUGGCCAGUGUGGAGGCGCCUGCUUGGUCUGCUCUUCAGUGUGGGUAAGUACCAUGCACAGCUCAGCGCGGGACAAGAGGAACGACUCAAGAGGAACAACACAAGGAAAGUGAAGUUCUGUUGUUUGGUUAGGGCCCGGCUAGGAUGCUAACCUCACCCUUGCUUUUCAGGUACACAAUAAUACUGGUUGAGUCUUUACAGGCACCCCUUGACAUCUGGGACAGUGUGGGACAAGCCUUCCCUGGGACAGUGUGGGACAAGUCAUUCCUGGGACAGUGUGGAACAAGUCUUUCCUGGGACAGUGUGGGACAAGCCUUUCCUGGGACAGUGUGGAACAAGAGGAAUGCAUCACCAAGAAGCAAACUCCUGGGACAGUGUGGAACAAGUCUUUCCUGGGACAGUGUGGGACAAGUCAUUCCUGGGACAGUGUGGAACAAGUCUUACCUGGGACAGUGUGGGACAAGUCAUUCCUGGG